rnacentral:rRNA from 1 species
GAUAAACGCUGGCGGCGUGCCUAAUACAUGCAAGUCGAGCGAACAGACGAGGAGCUUGCUCCUCUGACGUUAGCGGCGGACGGGUGAGUAACACGUGGAUAAUCUACCUAUAAGACUGGGAUAACUUCGGGAAACCGGAGCUAAUACCGGAUAAUAUAUUGAACCGCAUGGUUCAAUAGUGAAAGACGGUUUUGCUGUCACUUAUAGAUGGAUCCGCGCCGCAUUAGCUAGUUGGUAAGGUAACGGCUUACCAAGGCAACGAUGCGUAGCCGACCUGAGAGGGUGAUCGGCCACACUGGAACUGAGACACGGUCCAGACUCCUACGGGAGGCAGCAGUAGGGAAUCUUCCGCAAUGGGCGAAAGCCUGACGGAGCAACGCCGCGUGAGUGAUGAAGGUCUUCGGAUCGUAAAACUCUGUUAUUAGGGAAGAACAAAUGUGUAAGUAACUAUGCACGUCUUGACGGUACCUAAUCAGAAAGCCACGGCUAACUACGUG